rnacentral:rRNA from 1 species
AAUAGAUACCCUGGUAGUCCACGCCGUAAACGUUGGGCGCUAGGUGUGGGGACCAUUCCACGGUUUCUGUGCCGCAGCUAACGCAUUAAGCGCCCCGCCUGGGGAGUACGGCCGCAAGGCUAAAACUCAAAGGAAUUGACGGGGGCCCGCACAAGCGGCGGAGCAUGUGGAUUAAUUCGAUGCAACGCGAAGAACCUUACCUGGGUUUGACAUGCACCAGACGCUGCCGGAGACGGUAGUUCCCUUGUGGUUGGUGUGCAGGUGGUGCAUGGCUGUCGUCAGCUCGUGUCGUGGGAUGUUGGGUUAAGUCCCGCAACAAGCGCAACCCUCGUUCCAUGUUGCCAGCGCGUGAUGGCGGGGACUCAUGGGAGACUGCCGGGGUCAACUCGGAGGAAGGUGGGGAUGACGUCAAGUCAUCAUGCCCCUUAUGUCCAGGGCUUCACACAUGCUACAAUGGCUCAUACAGAGGGCUGCGAGACCGUGAGGUGGAGCGAAUCCCUUAAAGUGGGUCUCAGUUCGGAUC